AUUUCGGAAUCGGGUCCUUAUCCCCUACACUUGGGCGCCACUUGGAAAACGUGGACAGCAGCUUAGAGGGCAACCACGUGAUGAUCGGUCUUGCGUUUUCUCUGAUAGGCUUAACAUACACAUUCACCGUGCCCCUAUUUGGACUAGUAUCCAAUAAAUUGAACCGCAAUAAAGUGCAGGUUAUUGUUGGACUCUUUGUGUGUACAUUAGGUUAUA